GCGUCUGUAGCCUAGUUGGUAAAGGCAGCACUUUAGUACAUUGCUGAUGUUGUGAGUUCAAAUCUCACCAGACACA
rnacentral:tRNA from 1 species